UACGUAGGGGGCAAGCGUUGUCCGGAAUCAUUGGGCGUAAAGAGCGUGUAGGCGGCUUGGUAAGUCCGCUGUGAAAGUCCAGGGCUCAAGCCUGGAAAGCCGGUGGAAACUGUCAAGCUUGAGUCCGGAAGAGGCGAGUGGAAUUCCUGGUGUAGCGGUGAAAUGCGCAGAUAUCAGGAGGAACACCAAUGGCGAAGGCAGCUCGCUGGGACGGUACUGACGCUGAGACGCGAAAGCGUGGGGAGCAAACAGG
rnacentral:rRNA from 1 species